GGUCCGAAUACAAACAACAACAAUCAGGCCCAAAAUUCUCACCAACUCGGCCGAUUCCCAAUUUCCCUUAUAUCCCUUAAUCAACAACAACAGUAGACAAACAAUAGUAAAAUAACGCACAAACAGCUACCAACACACACAAAAUCAACAACCGUAACAACAACGCGUCCAGCAACCACAACUGACCCCAGACCCGUCGAGCAGCUUCAACGCCGCCAAGUCGUCAAAAUCGACGAACCAACCAGUUCUGGCAAAAAACCCGAUUCCAACGACCCGAACCAACAACGUCGACCCGACCCGGGCGAGAACACCAAAAAUUCAACCAAGCAACCUCUCUCUCCGUCUUAUCUCUGCAUUUUGUAGACCUAGAGACUUCCUUUUUAACUUAUAUUUUGCUCAAGAUUAUGUGUUUCCAAACUCAAAAUACAGUUCAAAUCAGAAAAUGUCUAUUUAAAUUCGAAAUUUAGGGAUAUGUUUCUCCAUUUUUAAAUAUGAAAAAUUAAUAUAUUCCCCUAUAAAUAGGGAUUGAGGGGAAGAAGACAAGAGGAGGAUUUGUUUUGGGGAAAAUUGAGGGUUCUGAAGGCACUUGCUUUUAUCCUCACGAAACCAAAAUUCUCGACAACAUACUCCAAAAAUCGAAUUCGGAUGAAACUGUCGAACUCCGGCAAGGCUAGUUGGCAUUCCGGUGGUGAAAGUCGCAACGUGAUAGACUCAUUUGUUACGUUUGCUGCCGGAAAACAGAAAUGAAACGGGUGUGAUUACUUUGAUUGGUAUGAAGAACGACACUCUUCACAAGCAAAUAGGGUGAUUUGGGGUUUGUUGAAGAAAGUUAAGUCCUUUGAAGAUAUAGAAAAUUGAGCUAGAAGAUAUAAUAUUGUUGGUGUCGUUGCUACUUGUUUGUUGGUGUGGGGAAUAUGGACAUUAAAGCCAAAUUGUUGAAGUUUGGCAUUGAAGUUUUGAUGGCCUUGAAGUUAUGAUUGCCUUCCUAGUGUUGAAGUUGCAAAAUGACUUAAAUUUCUUCUUGUUAGGUUUCGUUUGUUGAUGUAAUGUUGGUCUUGUAAGAAUGCUACAUUUUGAUGAAAUGAAAUAUUUUAUAUCUA